GGUUAAGCUAUUAAGGGCGCACGGAGGAUGCCUAGGCGCCAGGAGCCUAAGAAGGACGCGGCGAACAGCGAAAUUGCCUCGGGGAGCCGUAAGCAGGCUUUGAUCCGGGGAUGUCCGAAUGGGGAAACCCGGCUGGGGUCAUGCCCAGUCACCUAUGAGUGAAUACAUAGCUCAUAAGGAGGCACACCCAGGGAACUGAAACAUCUAAGUACCUGGAGGAGAAGAAAACAAGAGUGAUUCCGUCAGUAGCGGCGAGCGAAAGCGGAUUAGCCCAAACCUGAGAGCUUGCUCUCAGGGGUUGUGGGACGUCUCACAUGGAGUUACAAAGGAGCAGGUUAGGCGAAGAGAUCUGGAAAGGUCCGGCAUAGAAGGUAAAAGCCCCGUAGCCGAAAGUCUGCUCCCUCCGAGACGGAUCCCGAGUACCGCGGGACACGAGAAACCCCGUGGGAAUCCGGCAGGACCAUCUGCCAAGGCUAAAUACUCCCUGGCGACCGAUAGUGAAGCAGUACCGUGAGGGAAAGGUGAAAAGCACCGCGGGAGCGGAGUGAAAAAGAACCUGAAACCGUGCGCUUACAAGAAGUCAGAGCCCGAUCUAGGGGUGAUGGCGUGCCUUUUGUAGAAUGAACCGGCGAGUUACGUUUACGUGCGAGGUUAAGUCGGAGAGACGGAGCCGCAGCGAAAGCGAGUCUGAAUAGGGCGCUUUAGUACGUAGUCGUAGACCCGAAACCGGGUGAUCUACCCCUGUGCAGGGUGAAGGUGAGGUAACACUUACUGGAGGCCCGAACUCGUGAGCGUUGAAAAGCUCUGGGAUGACGUGGGGGUAGGGGAGAAAUUCCAAUCGAACUCGGAGAUAGCUGGUUCUCCCCGAAAUAGCUUUAGGGCUAGCCUCGAGAUUUAGCAUCAUGGAGGUAGAGCACUGAUUGGGUGCGGGGCCCGCCAAGGGUUACCAAGUCCAGUCAAACUCCGAAUGCCAUGGAUGUAUGCUCGGGAGUCAGACGGCGAGUGCUAAGAUCCGUCGUCAAGAGGGAAAGAGCCCAGAUCAUCAGCUAAGGUCCCCAAGUGUGUGUUAAGUGGGAAAGGAUGUGGAGUUGCGAAGACAACCAGGAUGUUGGCUUAGAAGCAGCCACCAUUUAAAGAGUGCGUAAUAGCUCACUGGUCGAGUGACUCUGCGCCGAAAAUGUAACGGGGCUAAACACACCACCGAAGCUAUGGCAUGUACCUUAGGGUACUUGGGUAGGGGAGCGUUGAAUGCGGGUUGAAGUCGGACCGAGAGGACCGGUGGACUGCAUUCAAGUGAGAAUGCCGGUAUGAGUAACGAAAAGACAGGUGAGAAUCCUGUCCGCCGAAAGCCUAAGGGUUCCUGAGGAAGGUUCGUCCGCUCAGGGUAAGUCGGGACCUAAGGCGAGGCCGAAAGGCGUAGUCGAAGGACAACAGGUUGAAAUUCCUGUACCACCGUAAUCCGUUACGAGCGAUGGGGGGACGCAGGAGGGCAAGAACGCGAGCUGAUGGAAUAGCUCGUCCAAGCAGUGAGGGGUGUGUGUAGGCAAAUCCGCACACUAAUACCUUGAGCUGUGAUGGGGAGGGAAAAUUACAGUACCGAAGGUUCCGUGCUCACGCUGCCGAGAAAAGCCUCUAGCCAGGAGAAGGUGCCCGUACCGCAAACCGACACAGGUAGGCGAGAAGAGAAUUCUAAGGCGCGCGGAAGAACUCUCGUUAAGGAACUCGGCAAAAUGACCCCGUAACUUCGGGAGAAGGGGUGCCUCGGUAGGGUGAAUAGCCCGAGGGGGCCGCAGUGAAUAGGCCCAAGCGACUGUUUAGCAAAAACACAGGUCUGUGCGAAGCCGUAAGGCGAAGUAUACGGGCUGACGCCUGCCCGGUGCUGGAAGGUUAAGGGGAGCGGUUAGGGGCAACCCGAAGCUGUGAACCGAAGCCCCAGUAAACGGCGGCCGUAACUAUAACGGUCCUAAGGUAGCGAAAUUCCUUGUCAGGUAAAUUCUGACCCGCACGAAUGGCGUAACGACUUGGGCGCUGUCUCAACGAGAGAUCCGGUGAAAUUUUAGUACCUGUGAAGAUGCAGGUUACCCGCGACGUGACGGAAAGACCCCAUGGAGCUUUACUGUAGCUUGAUAUUGAACUUGGGUACGGUCUGUACAGGAUAGGUGGGAGCCUAGGAAGCCUGAGCGCAAGCUUAGGUGGAGGCGCCGUUGGGAUACCACCCUGAUCGUAUCUAGGUUCUAACCUGUCACCGUGAAUCCGGUGAAGGGACCGUGUCAGGCGGACAGUUUGACUGGGGCGGUCGCCUCCUAAAGCGUAACGGAGGCGCCCCAAGGUUCCCUCAGAAUGGUUGGAAAUCAUUCGAAGAGUGCAAAGGCAUAAGGGAGCUUGACUGCGAGACCUACAAGUCGAGCAGGGACGAAAGUCGGGCUUAGUGAUCCGGUGGUACCGAAUGGAAGGGCCAUCGCUCAACGGAUAAAAGCUACCCUGGGGAUAACAGGCUUAUCUCCCCCAAGAGUCCACAUCGACGGGGGAGGUUUGGCACCUCGAUGUCGGCUCAUCGCAUCCUGGGGCUGAAGUAGGUCCCAAGGGUUGGGCUGUUCGCCCAUUAAAGCGGUACGCGAGCUGGGUUCAGAACGUCGUGAGACAGUUCGGUCCCUAUCUGUCGCGGGCGUAGGAAAUUUGAGAGGGGCUGUCCUUAGUACGAGAGGACCGGGAUGGACGCACCGCUGGUGUACCAGUUGUUCCGCCAGGAGCAUCGCUGGGUAGCCAAGUGCGGGAGGGAUAAGCGCUGAAAGCAUCUAAGCGCGAAGCCCGCCUCAAGAUGAGAUUUCCCAGUAUGUAAGACCCCUUGGAGAACACGAGGUUGAUAGGCUCGGGGUGUAAGCACAGCAAUGUGUGUAGCUGACGAGUACUAAUCGGUCGAGGGCUUAUCCUA
rnacentral:rRNA from 1 species